rnacentral:rRNA from 1 species
UACGUAGGCAGCGAGCGUUGUUCGGAGUUACUGGGCGUAAAGGGUGUGUAGGCGGUUCUCUAAGGUUGGUGUGAAAUCUCCCGGCUCAACCGGGAGGGUGCGCCGAAAACUGGAGGGCUAGAGUGCGGGAAGGGAGAGUAGAAUUCCUGGUGUAGCGGUGAAAUGCGUAGAUAUCAGGAGGAAUACCGGUGGUGUAGACGGCUCUCUGGACCGCGACUGACGCUGAGACACGAAAGCGUGGGUAGCAAACAGG